GGAACACUGUAGUGAAGGAAAAGGCAGCAAACAUUUGAAAACAUGGAGGAUAAGUUACAAAUACUGAAGUUCGACAAGCCGUGGUAUGUUAUGGUGGAAGACCAUGAAAUGUGUCAGAGCAUUUUUGACGAUCUUCUUGAAAAAGUGGAUAGAGAGA